GAGGGUAUAGCUCAGUGGUAGAGUGAAUGCCUGGCAUGCAUGAGGUCCUGGGUUCAAUCCCCAGUACUUUCA
rnacentral:tRNA from 1 species